UACGUAGGUGACAAGCGUUGUCCGGAUUUACUGGGCGUAAAGAGCGCGCAGGCGGUCGUUCAAGUCGAGUGUGAAAGCCCCCGGCUCAACUGGGGAGGGUCACGCGAUACUGCUCGACUCGAAGGCAGGAGAGGGAAGUGGAAUUCCCGGUGUAGUGGUGAAAUGCGUAGAUAUCGGGAGGAACACCAGUGGCGAAGGCGACUUCCUGGCCUGUUCUUGACGCUGAGGCGCGAAAGCUAGGGUAGCAAACGGG
rnacentral:rRNA from 1 species